rnacentral:lncRNA from 13 species
AUGGCCCAGGUCCCUGCCGACUUCCCGCCUUCCUCUGGGCUCCUCUCCGAAGCAUCGCCCGAGCCCAGCCCUGGCCCCCAACGGCCUGGAAGCGCGAGCGGGCGGCAAGCUGACCCCAUCCGAGGGCCCGGCCGUCCCUGCCCUGGCCCGGAGCCCGGCGCGCUCAGACCCCGAGGCCUCCAGCGCCCCGCCGGGCCCGCGCUCCCCGCCGCCCACCGAGCCCGCACUCCCCGCCCGCGCGUCCGGCCCAGCUCGGCCGGCGGGACUCACCUCCACAGCCCGGUGGCGCCGCCUCCGUCCUCCCGGCCCGGGCAGCGCGGCCCCGGCCCCCGGGCCCGCUCGCCCCCGCCGGCCGAUCCACAACUUCUGCCUCCGGAGAGCGGCGGGGCCCCUCUCGCCGCCGGCCGCGCUGCCCGGACGGCCUCCCCGCGCCUCAGCCGCGGAGUGCCCCGACCCGGCCCCGGCCACUGCCCGCGUCAGGCGUUCGCCUUACGCCACCUCCGUAGCGUAGCGCCCGGCCUUGGCCCCGCGGCUACGGCGCGCCCGGGGCGCACGCGGCGCUGUGAAUCGCUCACACGGACUACGGCUCCCACAGGGCCGCGCGGCGCUGCCGGGGCGGAAGCCCUGGGCGGUGCCGGCGCGAAGCAUGCCGGGAGUUGUAGUCCUCUGGUGGCGCCUUCCCUGUCCGCCGACCUCCCGAGCCAUUCCUCCUGCUCGCGCUGCUGGAGACGGCCAGGCCCCGGGCCUCGGUCCCGGGAAGGCGCCGCGCUCCCGGCUUAUCGGGCAGUGGGGCAGCCGGAGGAGGGGCUGGGACUACAGCUCCCAGAAAGCCCUGCGAGGGGCACGGAGGGGCGGGGCCUCCAACCGCUGCGUCGGCGCGUCCACGGCGACUCGGUCCCGGGGGUCUCGGGGGUGGCCGGGCCGGGGACGUCAGUGUCCCGCGGGGCUCGGGGAGGCCCCUGGACCGAAGACCACGACCCCGCCCUGGGCCCUCUGUGUCCGCGAGGCCCAGAAACCCCUUCGGGCCUCCCAGGGCCGCCCCCUCGCAACGCUGUGCUCGGUCCCGGCGGCCAAGAGCGGCGGUGGCAACGGGACCGCUCUGGCCCGAGACGCGGCCUGGCCUCGCAGCGUCGCUUGGGCACAGCCUCUCUAGGUCCCUUCGUCCUCGGUCGCGGAAGGACGCCAUUAAACGGCCACGCCCGGCUGGACCUGGAGGAGGGAAGACGGGGCGACUCCCGGGUCCUUCCAGGCCCCUUGCUCAGGCCUGAGUCUCUCCCCGGAGGUCCCUUCCCGCUGCGCUGA